rnacentral:rRNA from 1 species
UACAGAGGUGGCAAGCGUUGUUCGGAAUUACUGGGCGUAAAGGGCGCGUAGGCGGUUCGUUAAGUCCUGUGUGAAAUCCCCCCGGCUCAACUGGGGAACUGCACAGGAAACUAGCGGGCUUGAGUUCGGGAGAGGGAAGCGGAAUUCCGGGUGUAGCGGUGAAAUGCGUAGAUAUCCGGAGGAACACCGGUGGCGAAGGCGGCUUCCUGGACCGAC